rnacentral:rRNA from 1 species
AGCGAACGCUGGCGGCAGGCCUAACACAUGCAAGUCGAGCGCCCCGCAAGGGGAGCGGCAGACGGGAGAGUAACACGUGGGAACGUACCCUUUGGUUCGGAACAACCCAGGGAAACUUGGGCUAAUACCGGAUAAGCCCUUACGGGGAAAGAUUCAUCGCCGAAGGAUCGGCCCGCGUCUGAUUAGCUAGUUGGUGGGGUAACGGCCCACCAAGGCGACGAUCAGUAGCUGGUCUGAGAGGAUGAUCAGCCUCACUGGGACUGAGACACGGCCCAGACUCCUACGGGAGGAAGCAGUGGGGAAUAUUGGACAAUGGGCGCAAGCCUGAUCCAGCCAUGCCGCGUGGGUGAUGAAGGCCCUAGGGUUGUAAAGCCCUUUUGGCAGGGACGAUGAUGACGGUACCUGCAGAAUAAGCCCCGGCUAACUUCGUGCCAGCCGCCGCCGUAA